GUUUGAUGAUUUGCAGGUGUGUAAGUAUGGUUCAAUUCUUUAGGAGCUGAUUGGUGUAUAAUCUAAUUGUUAGAGCUGUUUUCAGGUAGUGCUAGUCUUUUUUGUAUUCUUGUAAAAGAAAUCAGGUAGUCAAAUGGUUUUUUCCCUUUACAUUUACAGUUGUUUCAUAUUAUUCUUAGAGAACCUGCUUAAGAGGCAGAUGUAAAUCGAGUACUGUAUUUGAAGACAUUCUCC
rnacentral:misc_RNA from 1 species